rnacentral:rRNA from 1 species
GGGUCUCGCUCGUUACCUGACUUAACAGGAUGCUUCACAGUACGAACUGACGACGGCCAUGCACCACCUCUCAGCUAAUCCGGCAAAGUCUUCAGCCUGGCCUUCAUAUUGCUGUCGGUCCCGGUAAGAUUUCCGGCGUUGAAUCCAAUUAAACCGCAAGCUCCACCCGUUGUGGUGCUCCCCCGCCAAUUCCUUUAAGUUUCAGCCUUGCGGCCGUACUUCCCAGGUGGCUCGCUUCACGGCUUCCCUACGGCACCGACAACGGUCGCACCGUGGCCGACACCUAGCGAGUAUCGUUUACGGCUAGGACUACCCGGGUAUCUAAUCCGGUUCGUGCCCCUAGCUUUCGUCCCUUGCCGUCAGGUCCGUUCUGGUGAGACGCCUUCGCCACUGGUGGUCCUUCAAGGAUUACAAGAUUUCACCCCUACCCCUGAAGUACCUCUCACCUCUCCCGGCCUCGAGCCAGACAGUAUCUCCUGAAAGCCUGACAGUUAAGCUGCCAGAUUUCUCAAGAGACUUAUCCGGCCGGCUACAGACCCUUUAGACCCAAUAAUAACGGUUACCACUCGAGCCGCCGGUGUUACCGCGGCGGCUGGCACCGGUCUUGCCCGGCCCUUGCUAUGAAAUGCUUUUUAGGCAUCUCGACAGCCAGAUUUGUAACCUGGCACUCGAGGUUCCCUUAUCGCUGUUGCCAGCAUUGUAAAGUUUUCGCGCCUGCUGCACCCCGUAGGGCCUGGAUUCGUGUCUCAGAAUCCAUCUCCGGGCUCUUGCUCUCACAACCCGUACCCGUCGUAGGCUAGUAGGUACGCUACACCCACUACUACCUGAUAGGCCGCAGACCCAUCCUUAGGCGCCGGAGCUUUUAAUCUCGGUGCAUUCCAGCAGCCGAGACUUAUAGGGGAUUAUACCCAGUUUCCCGGGUUUAUACCCAACCUAAGGGCAGGUUGUCCACGUGUUACUGAGCAGUACGCCAUGUAUUGCUACAUUCGACUCGCAUGGCUUAGUCGAACCUCGAUAGCAGUAACCUCUGGCAGGAUCAACCGGA